rnacentral:rRNA from 1 species
UCCCCGGUUAAAUCCCUUAGUGAUCCUGCCAGGAGAACGCUAGCGGCAGGCUUAUACCAUGCGAGCGAGGGGUAGGUUACUUCGUGUAACUGAGACCGGCGCCCGGGUGCGUAACGCGUAUACAAUCUACCUUUCACAGAGGGAUAGCCCAGAGAAAUUUGGAUUAAUACCUCAUAGUAUUUUUGAAUGGCAUCAUUUGAUUAUUAAAGUUCCCAACGGUAAAAGAUGAGUAUGCGUCCCAUUAGCUAGAUGGUAAGGUAACGGCUUACCAUGGCUACGAUGGGUAGGGGUCCUGAGAGGGAGAUCCCCCACACUGGUACUGAGACACGGACCAGACUCCUACGGGAGGCAGCAGUGAGGAAUAUUGGACAAUGGGCGCAAGCCUGAUCCAGCCAUGCCGCGUGCAGGAAGAAGGUCCUAUGGAUUGUAAACUGCUUUUAUACAGGAAGAAACACCUCUACGUGUAGAGACUUGACGGUACUGUAUGAAUAAGGACCGGCUAACUCCGUGCCAGCAGCCGCGGUAAUACGGAGGGUCCAAGCGUUAUCCGGAAUCGUUGGGUUUAAAGGGUCCGUAGGCGGCCAAAUAAGUCAGUGGUGAAAGCCCAUCGCUCAACGAUGGAACGGCCAUUGAUACUGUUUGGCUUGAAUUAUUAGGAAGUAACUAGAAUAUGUAGUGUAGCGGUGAAAUGCUUAGAGAUUACAUGGAAUACCAAUUUGCGAAGGCAGGUUACUACUAAUAUUAUUGACGCUGAUGGACGAAAGCGUGGGGAGCGAACAGGAUUAGAUACCCUGGUAGUCCACGCCGUAAACGAUGGAUACUAGCUGUUCGGAGCAAUCUGAGUGGGCUAAGCGAAAGUGAUAAGUAUCCCACCU